GGCUGUGCUCCACCCUGGCUCUCACCUGUUUCCAGGUAUCUGCCUAGCAGGAACUGACAUGCAGUGCUCCCUGCCCCGCGUCUCAGGCAGAAAAGGAGAUUGCACUUGUAUAGACUGGAAGUCUUUACCUUAGCCUCAUGCUAACAUAGAAACAAAAGACUUUCUGGAGAAAAAGUCUGACUAAAUAAAAGAGAAUGUAAGUAUGAACUUGAAUCUGUUUAUCCUAAGUGGUAUUUCAGUGGGUAAUUCAGAAUCCAAUCCUAUGUGUAAAUAUUUGAAGUAGCAUUUAAAUUGUGAAGAGCUUUUCUGACAUGGGAGAGUUUCCUGCUUCUUGUUUUGAAAUCCUAACUGAGAUGUGCACAGGUGACUUUAGCUUUCUGCUGUGCAUGUCUGAGCUGCAGACCGGGAAGUAGCGGGGCAAGCAGCAGAUUGGCUCUCAGCCUUUUCUCAAGAUGCCAGCAGUUAUCAAAGCAGACCCUCUGAGUUUGCUCACAGGAACAAGCUGGGGUAAAUGUUUAACUUGAGUCUUUGGAGUCUAUGGCUUGUACCUUUCUUUAUUAUUAACCCAAGCCCUGUUUUUCUUUACAGUCGCACGGCUGCUGGCACACAAGAAACAAAGGACCCUUGACAUAACUUCCUCACGGAGGCACGAGCAAAGCCCUGCCAACCUGUCAGUCCAGCCAUGCAAGAGAGGGAGAGAGAGAAAAAGAAAGGAGGGAGUGAAGCAGAGAUUCAGAUCUCAGCAGAUAUUAAGAUUCCCAAUGAACAAAGAAAACAAAUAGCCCCUGGGACCACAAGUGUGUUCUGUAA
rnacentral:lncRNA from 1 species